rnacentral:sRNA from 1 species
AAACCACCCAACUCCUCAACAUGCCUCAAAUUGGGGCAACCACCUGCACGCAGCUCUCUUACUUGGGGAAGGUUGGAGAUCCUCUCCAGGCCUUCACAUCUUUCAACUAAAAGGCAACCAGAGAGGAACGGGAGGUCUUCCACCGUCUUCAAGUAUCUUGUGUCUCUUAUAAAGAGUUUCUUCAAGUUGGUGGCCUGCUGUCCAAGCUGUGGAGGGAGAGCCCUCAGCUUGGGGCACUCCACAAGUUGCAACUGCUUCAAACAAGGCAGCAGCCACGACGACCUUGGAGUUGGAGACGGGGCUUCCUCCCCCUUUUGCUUCGAAGCAGCAAUUCCAUCCUCUCCCCCUUCCUUGGCUGCUGCAGCUGCUUCCUCCUCCUGCACUUCUUCUUCUUCAACAAAGGACCACUCCUCCCAGUUGGGCAUCUCCUUGAAGAUCAACAUUUCGAGCUUGGGGAAAGCAACUGCCUCUGUGGAUCUGAGAUUACCCUCCCAGCAGCCAACAAAUUCGGGUCCAAUCUUGGUGAUUGCACUUGCUCCAUUAAUUCUUAGGUAUUUCAAGUUUGGUAGCUGUCCGAUUGGGGGAAGAUGCACACAAGAUUUGCAAUCUACGAGGAUCACAGAUUUCACUGAAGACAAAUGGGUACAACCAAGCCAGGUGGGGAAUCUACAACCAAAGAAAUUCCCAACAAAAAGAUCUUCUAAGUUGUGUGGAGGUGUUAGCUUCUCGAAGAUCUUUUCAAUGUUUCUAGCAUUUUCCUCUGAAUAUGCUUCAUCUGUCUGUUCAGUGCAGUCUAGAUUCAGAACUUUGAGAUGCUUUUUCUCUGUUAGUAGAAAUGGGUCUGUACUGCUGCGUGGAGUACCUCUCUCCAAUUUUAUCAUACCAAGCUGCCUCAACUGUGGAAGAUAAGCCAACUCUUCCAAAUUCCAUCCAUCUUGUAUUUUGGUAUUGUCAUUUCCACCACCGAUAGGAAAUCCUUCUAAAUCAUUGAGAAAUUUCAGUCUUCCUAUCCCUUUUGGAACCUGGUUUAUUGGAGUACCAGCAAGACCAAGUCGCCUCAAAUUGCACAGCUGAGUGGUUGCCAAAGGAAGGCGGUGCAGAGAUUUACACCUCUGCAAGUUCAAUAUUUGAAGGUUUUGCAGGGAACCAAUGGACUCCGGUAGAUGAGAAAUGUCUGUCCCAUCAAGAUCAAGCAAGCGCAGAUGAAUCAUGUUUUCAAUGUAAUUUGGGAUUCUUUGUACAUGUGAGUUAGUCAAAUCCAAAACACGAAGAUAUGUAAGUUUCUCGAAAAGUGAACUAUCAACUUGCAGUGCCUUCUGAUAGGAGGUUCU